rnacentral:lncRNA from 1 species
CUACGUCUAACAGAGUUUGUAACGGAUUCAGAUCACAUUUCAACAAUCAUGUUACGUUCCGAAUCGUUCAGUUUCAGAUCACACUUUAUUGUCAAUUGGAACAACAAAAACCCCUACGAAUUCGUUCAAAAAUUUUACGUUUUGCGGGUUUGUGCAAGAUAUCUAGCUAACAUUAAGAGAAGUCUCGAGUUUUUUUUUUUCAUCUCUUUCUUGGUCACCAGCAAUCAUCCUAUUUACACUGUACACGCCCUUAUCAUAAUCCAUCUCCAUCCAAACUCACCUAGGGAGUGAUGCGUAAACAACACAAAGUCAAAGAUGUUGUUCCACUCGGACCCGGUUAAGAACAGUCUACUUCUCCAGUUGGGUUUGUAAGAACCGAUCCACAUACUGUUGAGUUAACACCAAAUUGAGCCUAGUAGCAGUACAACUGUGGCCUGGUUUAACCUAGGCCUGCUUGGCUUAUCGUCCUUGUCUGUGAGUUUUCCUGCCUCAUGCUAAUGUGUGUGAGUUACAAAUCACAUAACGCGCACAAAAUCCAUGACCCAAAUCUCGCUAGGCUCUUUUUUUUCUUCCCUACGGCUCAUGAAACCACAUGAGCAUACCAUGUCUUACUUUGGCACUUGUGUUAUUUGAAAAACAAUUAUCUCAAAAGUAUAUACUCCCUCCGUCUCAAAAUAAACUAUAAAAAUCCACGCCA